rnacentral:lncRNA from 1 species
AUGCGCUCAGCGCGGCGGGGAGUCCACCUUUAACGUCCGCGGGCGCGGGGUGUGUCGGGUGUCGACGGCGGCGCUUUGCGGCCGGUCGUGCGGGUCGGGCGCGGGCGGGCGCGGCGGCAGUGGCGCGCACAGGUGAUUGACUGGCCAGCUGCCUGAAGGAGCGCCAGGUCCUCCUUGCUGGCAGGUGGCGAAGCCCAUUGGGGCGGCGGUGCAGACCGCGGCGGCGGCUGCGGCGGUCUGGCUCGGGAGGUGUCGCAGGAGCACAUCGAGACCGCUUACCGCAUCUGGCUGGAGCCCUGCAUUCGCGGCGUGUGCAGACGAAACUGCAAAGGAAAUCCGAAUUGCUUGGUUGGUAUUGGUGAGCAUAUUUGGUUAGGAGAAAUAGAUGAAAAUAGUUUUCAUAACAUCGAUGAUCCCAACUGUGAGAGGAGAAAAAAGAACUCAUUUGUGGGCCUGACUAACCUUGGAGCCACUUGUUAUGUCAACACAUUUCUUCAAGUGUGGUUUCUCAACUUGGAGCUUCGGCAGGCACUCUACUUAUGUCCAAGCACUUGUAGUGACUACAUGCUGGGAGACGGCAUCCAAGAAGAAAAAGAUUAUGAGCCUCAAACAAUUUGUGAGCAUCUCCAGUACUUGUUUGCCUUGUUGCAAAACAGUAAUAGGCGAUACAUUGAUCCAUC